rnacentral:misc_RNA from 1 species
GAUGAAGAACGUAGCGAAAUGCGAUAAGUAAUGUGAAUUGCAGAAUUCAGUGAAUCAUCGAAUCUUUGAACGCACAUUGCGCCCGCUAGUAUUCUGGCGGGCAUGCCUGUUCGAGCGUCAUUUCAACCAUCAAGCCCUGUUUAGGCUUGUGUUGGGGCCCUGCGGUUGCCGCAGCCCCCUAAAUGCAGUGGCGGGCUCGUUGUCACUCCGAGCGCAGUAGCGUAUCUCGCUCUGGGCGUGGCGGCGGGUGCUAGCCGUGAAACACACACUAAGGUUGACCUCGGAUCAGGUAGGAAUACCCGCUGAACUUAAGCAUAUCAAUAAGCGGAGGA